rnacentral:lncRNA from 1 species
CUUCAGAUGUGUUUAGGUAAUCCUUGCCUCAUAUAUACCAUCAUUAUUGAUCAUAUAUGGUACCUGUUUUCUUGAUUGGAAAGUGGACCAUUGAGGUAUUAACAAUUCAUUUCCUCCUUUUCUUCUUUAUUCCUAUUCCUUGGCCUCUGAGGAUAAUUACUAUCCUCAAUUUUAUUUUAAAAUAUUUUAUAUUAACCUAUGUGAAAAGACCAUGUUUUUUAAUUUUCUUUGUUGCAGAGCUCUAUGGCAUACUUUAAUAUAGUAGGCACUCUUCUAUGAUUUGAUUCUUACAUUUGACAUUGUUACAGUUACUUCUUAUACCAUAGUUUACAUGUUUUCAUUAUUGGAUAGUAUUUCACAGAAUAUGGUAUAAUAAUCUUUUCCUUAAAACAGUUGUUACCCCAUUAUGAAAUUUGAAUCAAAGAGAGUGACCCUAGCUAAGACUAAUAGUAUUGGGGGAUAUGGAGCCUCAAUCGGCCAUCUUAUAUAACCAGGCAAGACUUCCAAUUGAGGGACUGGGACACCAACCAGCCACAGAACCUUUAAUCUAUAAUUUGUCCUGCCUACAAGAUAUACUGAUGUAAAGGUGGUGUAGAAAUCCAGCUUGAGACCCAUGCCAUGAGAAGGGCUUACCCUUGACACUGCCCAGAGGGUCAGGAGCCAGAGGCUAGAUAGCCCAGAGACUGAUGCUAGAACCAAACAUAAAUGUCAGAAAGAUAAUAUAAUAAAGUGUCAAUGAAAAUAUUCUAAUAAUAAUUCUGCUAUACUCAGCAAUUGGCAUCUAGCCCA